rnacentral:rRNA from 1 species
UACGUAUGGUGCAAGCGUUAUCCGGAUUUACUGGGUGUAAAGGGAGCGUAGACGGAGUGGCAAGUCUGAUGUGAAAACCCGGGGCUCAACCCCGGGACUGCAUUGGAAACUGUCAAUCUAGAGUACCGGAGAGGUAAGCGGAAUUCCUAGUGUAGCGGUGAAAUGCGUAGAUAUUAGGAGGAACACCAGUGGCGAAGGCGGCUUACUGGGCGGUAACUGACGUUGAGGCUCGAAAGCGUGGGGAGCAAACAGG